UUAAAUUUUUGGAGAUGGAGUUUUGCGCUGUCACCCAGGCUGGAGUGCAGUGGCUUGAUCUCAGCCCACUGCAACCUCCACCACCUGGGUUCAAGCGAUUCUCCCGCCUCAGCCUCCUGAGUAGCUGGGGUUACAGGCUCCCGCCACCAAGCCUGGCUAAUUCUUGUAUUUUUAAUAGAGACCAGGUUUCACCAUGUUGGCCAGUCUGGUCUUGAAAUUAGCCAGGCAUGGUGGCAGGCGCCUGUAAUCCCAGCUACU
rnacentral:lncRNA from 1 species